GACGUAGGUGGCGAACGUUAUCCGGAAUUAUUGGGCGUAAAGGAUGCGUAGAUGGUGUAGUAAGUUAUCGGUGGCAAAUCGAGGCUCAACCUCGUGGAAGUCGGUAAUACUGCUAUGCUAGAGGAUAGGAGAGGUUAACGGAACUCCCUGUGGUGCGGUGAAAUGCGUAGAUAUAGGGAAGAACACCAAUCAGGCGAAGGCAGUUAACUAUUCUAUUCCUGACAUUGAGGCAUGAAAGCGUGGGGAGCAAAACGGA
rnacentral:rRNA from 1 species